rnacentral:rRNA from 1 species
CCACCCAGAUCCGAACCCUACCCAACCCCCGCCCCAGAUCCGGCCGCCGGCCGCCGCCGGCGAUGGCGUGCCUCGCGAUCUCCCUGCAGCCGGUGAACGGCCCGGACAUCCUGCUCCAGACGCGCUCCUGGUUCCCGGUCUCGCGCGCCCUCGCCGCCGUCUCCGCCUUCCGCCUCGCGCGCCUCAGCCUCGCCCGCGGCAAGCAGCCGCACGCCUCCCCCUCCUCCUCCGCCUCCCUCGACGCCAUCGGCGACGACCCGCUCGCCACCGGGUCGGGGCAGCUGGUGGUGGGCGUCGAGUCGCAGUACCGCGUGGUGUACCGCCUCGUCAACUCCAUCUACGUGCUCGGCGUCACCACCGCCUCCGACCACGCCGCCCCCGCCGUCCACGCCUUCGCCGUCGCCGACGCCGUCAACCAGGCCGUCUCCGUCCUCGUCGCCGCCUGCCGCGGCGUCGACGCCACCCCCGACAAGGUCCACCGCAAGUACCCCGAGGUCUACCUCGCGCUCGACCUCGUCCUCCACGGCGUCGGCUCCGUCCGCCUCUCCCAGAUCCUCGCCACCAUCCAUGGCGACAACCUCGCCCGCAUGGUCAACUCCUCCCCCGACGCCGAGGCCCGCGCCCGCGGCGCCGACUCCUGGCCCGUCGUCGAGCACCUCGCGCAGGACCGCCACGCCGCCCGCGACGGCUUCGCCGGCGCCUCCUUCGAGCUCCCCCAGGAGACCCUCUCUGCCGGCGACGAGUUCUCUGCUUCCAGCCUCGCGCCUGCGGCUGCCGCAGCUACUGGGGAUGAGCCGCCGCCUGAGGAGGCGCCCCCCAUUGAGAAGGACCCCUUUGCGGCUAGCGACAUGGUUGCUAGCAAGCCAGAGGAGGCGUUGGUCGGUGCGUUCAAGAAGAACAAGGAGACCGCCCUUGUGGUUGCUGAUCCUGCUGCUGCGCUUGCUGGGUUGGAGGUCACCACUCUGCCGCCAGCCGAGGCGACUAAACCAACGUUUAUUGGGGUUGAGGGAUUUGAGGGUGACUACGGUGGAAUCGAGUUUGGCAAUGAGGAAGCUUCACUGGCUGAGGCAUUUGAGGGGUUCAAUGCGCCAUUUGGGGGUGGGCUAGAUGCUUCUGAGUUUGUUACCACAACCAAGAAGGAUCACAAGGACAAGACCCUCACUGGUCUUGAGAUUCUAGCCAUGAGUGGUGGGCAGGCACCGAAUGCAGCUUCUUCUGGUUCGCAACUCGACAGCUUGGUAACCCCGAGCAAAGACAUGACCGUGCCUGAGUUGUGCAUCGUGGAGGAGAUCAAUGCUGAAUUCAAGGAGUCUGUUCUUGCACGGGUUGGUCUGAAGGGUACAAUCAUUUUGCGGACGUUACCACCAAAGAAGGCAGCAGGGAGGGAGACAGAGUUCUCAUUCCGGCUUGAGGGUACUUCUGGAAUGAAGAGGGCCGCCUUGCAGAGUACCGUGUUGAGCAGCCUCGAGAAUGGCCUGUUCCAUGUGAAGACACCAUCGAAGGAGGAGCCUAUCCCCAUCAUGAAAUACAGCUUCCUGCCCAAGCACUCACCUCUCCCCCUGAGGUUGCGCCUUGUAAAGCGCCACAGUGGCACAUUGCUCUCACUGAUGAUACACUAUGCGUCGAACCCGAUGUUGCCACAGCCACUGAGCAAUGUUACAUUCAUUGUUAAGCUUCCUGUGGAUCCAACUCUGCUUAAUGUUUCGCCCAAGGCUGUGUUGAACCGGGCAGAGAGGGAGCUCAGGUGGCACAUCUCAGACAUUCCUCUGAAAGGUCCUGCUGGCCGGUUGAGAGCACGGAUGCCUGUAGAUCAAGACUCCAAAGAUGGUGAACUAGAGGUUGUUGGAAUGGUCAAGUUUGCUUACCAAGGGCCAUUCACUUUGUCUGGCAUCAAACUCUGCCCAGCCAUCAAUAGCACUGCCCAAUUUAAUGAAGUUGGCCACACUUUCUCCAGCGGGAGCUACCGUUGCAUCUGAGUUGGUACCUUCUUUGUACUGUAGCUGUUUACUUUACCCCUUAUUCAGUUUGCUUCUACAACAGGGUGUGAAUUUCAUAUUUGUACGUAUAUGUUUUGUGAGGCUGGAAUUUAAACCAUGUUUUUGAGUUGUGAUUAUUCAUCAAGGCUACACAAUCUUUUGCAAGUUUCAUAGUACUCCUGUUCAUUAUGGAUGCAAACAAAAAACAAUACUUCUGCUACUGACCUUUAGUAAUUCAUUCAUUAUUGCAAACCGUCAUUACCUUUUCUGUCUAGUUUUUUAGAAUAAGGGAGGAGAGGAUUUCCCCUGUCCUCUACACAAUCUUUUGCAAGUUGGCAUUGAAAAUGAUUUGUUUGCUUUCAAGUUGAAACUUGCAAAUUUGGUGACGAGAUGUUUAAUGUAUAUCCUGUUUCUCAUUACCUUCCAACUGUACAAUACAUAUUUGGUUUUUUACUUCCUGUUGUAGGUGAACUGAAUUAUUCACGGAGAAUCUGGUUAUGGUAUUUUAUUAUACAGAUUCAAACAUAGUUUCUGUUCUUUAACCAAAAGAGUGCUGGAGUAAUUGCUCGCAGGUUGUCCUAUAUGGAUAGCACAUUUCCGUAAGAAAUUAGACAUCCACAUUUAUGCUCAAGUCAAGCACACACUUUAUUUCUGGCACCACGGUAAUCAGGAUGGUUGAACUCGACUCCAUUUUUCGCUCAUGGGGAUCUCCAAGGGUAUGAAUCUGACAAAUCCCCUGUCUUUGGGUAGUGGUUUUGCCCCUGGGUUCAAAAAGCAUGAAAGGGGAAAAUACUUAUAGCUGCAAGGGGAAGAGAUCAAUCUAUACAAAAACAUUCCUUUUCAAAAAUUUAGUUCAUCAAUUCUGUAUUGUAUCAGUAUGAUGCCUGCUUUUCUAGCUUCCCUUGCAUGAUUGACACUAAGCAAUGGUGAUGUGCUUAUCUUAUGGUAUGUUGAAAAUAAAAUUUACCAAUUCAGUGGUGCCAACACUAAUAUCCCUCCGUCCCAUAUUAGUUGUCGCUCAAAUGGAUGUAUCUAGACGUAUUUCAGUGCUAGAUACAUCCAUUUUACUCUUAAUUUUUUUCCUGUAAUGUUUGUAGAAAAAUACCGAUAGGGAUGCUAACUAUAACAUCAGUCUAGGGCAAAUAAAUCAUCUCUCGAAGGCAUUCUUUACCUUCACUUUGGCCGUAGUAAGCAGUAUACAUAUCUGUAGAUAGAUUGUAUUUUGUUCCUUCCAUGGUUUGUAUUUAUGUAUACAGUACAGUGAAUUGAAACUUUGCUGUAUUCUUUCAGCUUACACUAAUUGUGUAGCCUUAUGUUAUACUCCGUCAAUCCGGAAAUAUGUGUCGCUGACUGAAUACAGCUUUGUACUAAAGUUGUACUGAAUCUGCGACGGUUAUUUUGGGACGGAGGGAGUAUCUGUCAAGUGUCAUUUCCCCGCACUUUUUUGUGUUGCCGGAGAGUAACUGCAUUGUCAAUGAUAUUAUUGUACUGAUGGUAGUGUCAAAACUCAGAAGGUAGUGUAUUCCAGCAAGUUAUGAAUCAACUGAAUGGGUAGAUGACAAGAUUUUUACCAUCAUCAUCCUCAGGAGGGCAUUUGAUGCUAUAGAGUUACAGAUAGUAGAUGCUUUUGGAUUUAAGAGCCUUUUGAUGCUUUGGAAGUGGAGCUUUUGCACCUGGGCUCAAAUGCUCCUGGUGUGAA